GCGGCCGUAGUUCAGUGGCAGAACCUCAGCUUCCCAAGCUGAUCACGCGGGUUCGAUUCCCGUCGGCCGCUCCA
rnacentral:tRNA from 1 species